UGGGCAGUAUCAUUAGAACUGCACCUUUUUAUGGAACCCGAACAAUUUAUAUGGUUCUGCCUAGACCUGUUAUGGGCCAGGACAGAGGG
rfam:Desulfosporosinus sp. I2 contig00071, whole genome shotgun sequence.